AUGUUUACAUCAAAAUUCUGUACAGGUCGAGAUGUCAGAAAUGACAGAUGCUUCUUAAAUCUCUAUAAAUUUCUAACCACUGUUCACUUACCGAAACUGGUGAUAACUAAUACUUGCUGCAAAUUAAUUUUUUGUUGUAGUAGAGACCAUGACCACAGCCAUGCUUCAAGUUUUCACAGGGCUGGAGUAAUCCCAAGAAAACAGAACAAAAAAGAUGCGCUGAAAACUCAGGAUCUUCAGAGGGCAGAGGAAUGUUGAAAAAAAAGGAAACUGAACAUAUCAAGAUAUGUGAAGAAAAAUGGGAAAGAAAUGGUUGAGGACAUUGUGAAAGAGUACAAGAUCCCGGCAGCUGAUCUGUGUGAGUAAUAGUAAUUACAAUAAAGGAGAAAGGUAGUGAGUUAAAUCA
rnacentral:lncRNA from 1 species